rnacentral:rRNA from 1 species
GGGGGUGCAAGCGUUAUUCGGAAUCAUUGGGCGUAAAGGGCGCGUAGGCGGUCUCUUAAGUCAGGUGUGAAAGCCUUCCGCUUAACGGAAGAAGUGCACUUGAAACUAAGGGACUUGAGUAUGGGAGAGGGAAGUGGAAUUCCUGGUGUAGCGGUGAAAUGCGUAGAUAUCAGGAGGAACACCGGUGGCGAAGGCGACUUCCUGGACCAAUACUGACGCUGAGGCGCGAAGGCGUGGGGAGCAAACAGGAUUAGAUACCCUGGUAGUCCACGCAGUAAACGGUGAACACUAGGUGUAGUGGGUAUUGACCCCCCUGCUGUGCCCGCAGUUAACGCAUUAAGUGUUCCGCCUGGGGGAGUACGGCCGCAAGGCUA